GCUAAGAACAUCAACGAUUCGGAGGUGAUAGUGUUUCAGCCAGAAAUUGAAACCGAUGGCUUCCAAUGGUUUUACACCGCUACUUGUGAUAGAACGGCGUCCUUCCUAGCCGACCCAGAAUGUCCCUCGUGCUGUAGAGGAAUAGACACCACUCGAUAUGUCUCUAGCUGUGUUCCGAAGAAAUCUUACAUCAUGGCGUACGCUCGACAAGCCCAAGAGUUAAACUACGACUGGACCUGGAUUCAAAUUGACACCGGAUGCAGCUGUGCGAUAUCAUCGCGUCCGGGCGUCUAAUGACCUUUAUGCGUUAAAGUAGUUUAUUGACAAAGGGAAAAAAAUAAUUACCUUACAUGAAGGAAAUUAAUAUGUAUGUGUGGAAUGUAUACAUGCUAUAAGCAACGAUAUCUUUUGCUUUCUGUAUUUCAUUUUAUAAUAUUUAUUAUAUAUUUAGAAUUAAGUUAUUCAAGAACAUCAGACAAGGGAACAGACGAAAGUUUAUGUGUAUCUAUAAUUCCUGAAGAGUUUUGUACUUAACAUGUUCAUUUUAUGAUGAAAUGGUGAAAACGGUUUAAAAGAUUUAGAAAAGAUUCAAACAUAAUUUUUUUGUUUAUUUAGUCUUUGUUUUUGAAACAAGAUCUAUUCAAUACAAACAACUGUGAGAUUAAGAAAUUGAUUGUAGUUUACUUUAAUAAAAUAUUCUUUUAAUAGUGACUUAUUUUCAUCGAAUAUUUGUUAAAAAGCAACUUUUUAUAUUAAAAAAAUUGAAAUCUU
rnacentral:misc_RNA from 1 species